rnacentral:rRNA from 1 species
GACGAACGCUGGCGGCGUGCUUAACACAUGCAAGUCGAACGAGACGAUUGAAAGCUUGCUUUCGAAAGUCGAGUGGCAAACGGGUGAGUAACGCGUAGACAACCUGCCUUUGAGAUGGGACAACAGUUCGAAAGGACUGCUAAUACCGAAUGUUGUAUAUUUUCCACAUGGAAGAUAUAUUAAAGAUGGCCUCUAUUUAUAAGCUAUCGCUCAAAGAUGGGUCUGCGUCUGAUUAGCUGGUUGGUGGGGUAACGGCCUACCAAGGCGACGAUCAGUAGCCGGUCUGAGAGGAUGAACGGCCACAUUGGGACUGAGACACGGCCCAGACUCCUACGGGAGGCAGCAGUGGGGAAUCUUCCACAAUGGACGAAAGUCUGAUGGAGCAACGCCGCGUGAGUGAAGAAGGGUUUCGGCUCGUAAAGCUCUGUUGUCGGGGACGAAUGUGCAGUAUUUGAAUAAAGUACUGCAAUGACGGUACCUGACGAGGAAGCCACGGCUAACUACGUGCCAGCAGCCGCCGUAACAC